rnacentral:rRNA from 1 species
GUGUCAGCAGCCGCGGUAAGACGAACCGAGCGAACGUUGUUCGGAAUCACUGGGCUUAAAGGGCGCGUAGGCGGGCUGCCAAGUUUGGGGUGAAAUCCACCGGCUCAACCGGAGAAGGGCCUCGAAUACUGGCGGUCUGGAGGGAGGUAGGGGCGUGCGGAACUAACGGUGGAGCGGUGAAAUGCGUUGAUAUCGUUAGGAACUCCGGUGGCGAAGGCGGCACGCUGGACCUUUUCUGACGCUGAGGCGCGAAAGCCAGGGGAGCGAACGGGAUUAGAAACCCCAGUAGUCC